GCCCGCCUAGCUCAAUCGGAUAGAGCGUCAGACUUUUAAGACUGACCUUGUGUGUUAGGCUAAGGCGAUCUGAAGGCUGCGAGUUCGACCCUCGCGGUGGGCU